UGCCAAGCACCCGCGGUAAUUCCAGCUCCAAUAGCGUAUACUAAAGUUGUUGCAGUUAAAAAGCUCGUAGUUGAAUUUCUGGUCUCGGACAUCGGUCUGCCUCGAACGAGGUAUGAACCAGUUGUCUGAAUCCAUCCUCGGGGAAAACAUGUCUGCAAUUCAGUUUGUGGGCAUGGGAUCCUCGUCAUUUACUGUGAGCAAAAUAAAGUGUUCAAAGCAGGCUUAUGCCGUUGAAUACAUUAGCAUGGAAUAAUAAGAUAGGACCUUGGUCUAUUUUGUUGGUUUGUACUCCAAGGUAAUGAUUAAUACGGAUAGUUGGGGGUAUUCGUAUUCAAUUGUCAGAGGUGAAAUUCUUGGAUUUAUGGAAGACGAACUACUGCGAAAGCAUUUACCAGGGAUGUUUUCAUUAAUCUAGACCGAAAGUUAGGGGAUCAAAGAUGAUUAGAUACCAUCGGAGUCUUAACCAUAAACUAUGCGGACUAGGGAUUGGGUGGACGUUUGUAGCCAAUCCAUCAGCACCUUAUGAGAAAUCAAAAUUCUUUGGCGUUCCGGGCGAGUAUAGAUCACAGGGUGAAACUUACCCCAAGUUUGACCGGAAGGGGCACAACCAUGAUGUGUGGCCUGCGGCAUAAAUUCUGACUCAACGGGGGGGGAGAGUUACCAGGGCCCGCGCACCCGAUUGAGGAUUGGACAGCACU
rnacentral:rRNA from 1 species